AACUGAAUCAUGGGGGCGGGUUUUUCGUAUGCUCUUCUCGUGAUAGUAAGUCUCACGAGUUCGUUAUAAAAGGCAGUUCCCCUGCACAUGCUCUCUUGCCUGCUGUCAUGCAACGUGUCUUUGCUCCUCCUUCACCUUCCGCCAUGAUUGUGAGGCUUCCCCAGCCAUGUGGAAACAUAUUCGCAGAGCACCCACUAGGUGCCAGUAAAUGUAUGAGAAGUCCUGUGGAAUAAGACUGAAGUUGUCCUUGCCUUCAAGCAACUUGCAAUUGCCUAAGAACACAGUUUAAAACCACAAAACUAAGCCUUGGAAAUCACAUGCUGUCAUUUCUGCGAUCGGUCAUAACCAGUCCUGAUUCCAUGUUAGAGGAGACUACAUAAGGACACAGGUACCAGAAGAUGAAAAAUUUGGAGUCUAGUGAAAAGAAGUGACUUGCUCAAAAUCACACAGCACAUGAAGAACAGAGCCUCUAUGAUGAAUUUCUUGACAGGAUCCCAUUGAGGAUGCCACAUUAUGUUUCAUUGCCAUGUCUCCAUAGACUCUUCUUGGUUGUGAUGGUUUCUCACGCUUUUCUUGGUUUUGAAGACGUUGACAAUUUUCUUCCAUUGGGAUUUGCUUGAUGCUUUUCUCAUGAUUACACUGGAACUGUGACUUUUUAGAAGGAAGAUCAUAGAGAUCAAAAUAGCAGUACCCUUUUACAUUUUUCUGAGGGUAUCCAGAUAGUUUUGUCUAUUAGCCACUAAUUGGAAAACAAGCCUGCUCUAAGAUAAGAAUCAGUGAAGUCUUGUGAAGGGGAGCUAAGAUAAAGGUAUUUUGUGUGCUGCCUUGCAUGGCAUGAAUUGGACCUUCAACUCUUUAGAGAGAGGAGAGGCAAAGUAAGGUGGCAGUUCACAAAGAAGACCUAAAAAUGGGGCCUCUUUGCUCGGCAAGUAAGAGUGGAGUAGAUUCUGAAGAACCAAGGUAAGUUGGGAAUGGUGAUGAGGGUGUGUUUGACAUCAGAAACCAAGACUGGUGACCCCAUACAGCGGGGAGUAGGGUCCACAGGGCUGGACUGGUGGGAGACUACAGAACACAAGGAACAUUUGGUUCUCUGGGUGCCUGGUGUGAGCCUGGGAUAUGGAAAUGCACCAGAAACAAUGCUUUUUUUAGGGAGAUUUUCAAUUUUGUGAGUAAUCUACAAAUUUAAUAUUUGUACCUUCUAUUCUAUUGAUUAAUCCCCCAUGAUAAACUUGUGGUUCAUGUGCUUGCGAGCAGAGAGCUCCAAGAUAACCUGGUAGAUUUUAUUUUCCCAGCUCAGCUUGGUCAUGCAAAUUGAAAUGUAAAAAUCUCUUUUGAAAAGCAACGCAUUUAAAAUGUCCAUAACCUUAGAAAAUAGUUUCAAUUCAAAAUAUUAAACCGUUGAUACGUCAUUACCACUGAGCAGCCCAAAGAAAUCCUGACAGAUGCACCAUUUGAAUCCAUAAGAACUAAAUAUUAGACUGCCUAGGACUCAUGGGUCUACUUUUUGAAAUCCACCUUAUGGUUACAAUACAAAUUGAGAUGAAAGAUGAUAAUAUCUAGGUUAUAACAUUAUUAAUAAUACAGAAAAAAAUGGAAUGGAAACAAUCUAUUAGGUCAUACACACAUACAUAUCCACUAUUUACAUAUACAGUAUAUAUUUGCAUGUUAAUAUAUGUGUGUAUACAUAUAUAUGUGUAUGUAUUUAUAUGUACAUUUAUGCAUAUUUGAAAAUAUACAUUUUCACAUACAGGCAUGUAACAUGUAUAUGUAUGUAUAUGGUAUUUUUGUGUGUAUCUAUAUCCAUCUCUAUAUAUGUUGCAUGUAUGGACACAUAGAGGCCAGAAAAAAAUAUAUCAGAAUGUUAAUAAUAAGCU
rnacentral:lncRNA from 1 species